AUUGAACGCUGGCGGCAGGCCUAACACAUGCAAGUCGAGCGGAUGAAGGGAGCUUGCUCCUGGAUUCAGCGGCGGACGGGUGAGUAAUGCCUAGGAAUCUGCCUGGUAGUGGGGGAUAACGUCCGGAAACGGGCGCUAAUACCGCAUACGUCCUGAGGGAGAAAGUGGGGGAUCUUCGGACCUCACGCUAUCAGAUGAGCCUAGGUCGGAUUAGCUAGUUGGUGGGGUAAAGGCCUACCAAGGCGACGAUCCGUAACUGGUCUGAGAGGAUGAUCAGUCACACUGGAGCUGAGACACGGUCCAGACUCCUACGGGAGGCAGCAGUCGCGAAUAUUGGACAAUGGGCGAAAGCCUGAUCCAGCCAUGCCACGUGUGUGAAGAAGGUCUUCGGAUUGUAAAGCACUCUAAGUUGGGAGGAAGGGCAGUAAGUUAAUACCUUGCUGUUUUGACGUUACCAACAGAAUAAGCACCGGCUAACUUCGUG
rnacentral:rRNA from 1 species